rnacentral:rRNA from 1 species
AUUGAACGCUGGCGGUAUGCUUAACACAUGCAAGUCGAACGGUAGCAGGCCUUCGGGCGCUGACGAGUGGCGGACGGGUGCGUAACGCGUAGGAAUCUGCCUGUUAGUGGGGGACAACGUGGGGAAACUCACGCUAAUACCGCAUACGCCCUGAGGGGGAAAGCGGGGGCUCUUCGGACCUCGCGCUAACAGAUGAGCCUGCGUGGGAUUAGCUAGUUGGUAGGGUAAAGGCCUACCAAGGCGACGAUCCCUAGCUGGUCUGAGGGGACGAUCGGCCACACUGGGACUGAGACACGGCCCAGACUCCUACGGGAGGCAGCAGUGGGGAAUAUUGGACAAUGGGCGCAAGCCUGAUCCGGCAAUACCGCGUGUGUGAAGAAGGCCUGAGGGUUGUAAAGCACUUUCACUGGGGAGGAAGAGCGGUUAGUUAAUACCUGAUCGUGUGACAUUACCCAGACAAGAAGCACCGGCUAACUCCGUGCCAGCAGCCGCCGUAAAAC